ACACGACCGUACCGCAAACCGACACUGGUGCGCGAGAUGAGUAUUCUAAGGCGCUUGAGAGAACUCAGGAGAAGGAACUCGGCAAAUUGACACCGUAACUUCGGAAGAAGGUGUGCCUUUAGUAGGUGAACCUGUACAAGGGGAGCCCAAUGAGGUUGCAAAAAAUCGGUGGCUGCGACUGUUUAAUAAAAACACAGCACUCUGCAAACACGAAAGUGGACGUAUAGGGUGUGACGCCUGCCCGGUGCUGGAAGAUUAAAUGAUGGGGUGCAAGCUCUUGAUUGAAGUCCCAGUAAACGGCGGCCGUAACAAUAACGGUCCUAAGGUAGCGAAAUUCCUUGUCGGGUAAGUUCCGACCUGCACGAAUGGCGUAACGAUGGCCACACUGUCUCCUCCUGAGACUCAGCGAAGUUGAAAUGUUUGUGAUGAUGCAAUCUCCCCGCGGAAAGACGGAAAGACCCCAUGAACCUUUACUGUAGCUUUGUAUUGGACUUUGAACAGAUCUGUGUAGGAUAGGUGGGAGGCUUUGAAGUGUGGUCGCUAGAUCGCAUGGAGCCAACGUUGAAAUACCACCCUGGUGUGUUUGAGGUUCUAACCUAGGCCCGUAAUCCGGGUCGGGGACAGUGCAUGGUAGGCAGUUUGACUGGGGCGGUCUCCUCCCAAAGCGUAACGGAGGAGUUCGAAGGUACGCUAGGUACGGUCGGACAUCGUGCUAAUAGUGCAAUGGCAUAAGCGUGCUUAACUGCGAGACUGACAAGUCGAGCAGAUGCGAAAGCAGGACAUAGUGAUCCGGUGGUUCUGUAUGGAAGGGCCAUCGCUCAACGGAUAAAAGGUACUCUGGGGAUAACAGGCUGAUACCGCCCAAGAGUUCAUAUCGACGGCGGUGUUUGGCACCUCGAUGUCGGCUCAUCUCAUCCUGGGGCUGUAGCCGGUCCCAAGGGUAUGGCUGUUCGCCAUUUAAAGAGGUACGUGAGCUGGGUUUAAAACGUCGUGAGACAGUUUGGUCCCUAUCUUCCGUGGGCGCUGCAGAUUUGAGGAAGCCUGCUCCUAGUACGAGAGGACCGGAGUGGACACACCUCUGGUGUAUCGGUUGUCACGCCAGUGGCAUUGCCGAGUAGCUAUGUGUGGAAGAGAUAACCGCUGAAAGCAUCUAAGCGGGAAACUCGUUUCAAGAUGAGAUCUGCCGGGGCCUUGAGCCCCCUAAAGAGUCGUUCAAGACCAGGACGUUGAUAGGUCGGGUGUGGAAGCGCAGUAAUGCGUUAAGCUAACCGAUACUAAUUGCUCGUGCGGCUUGACC
rnacentral:rRNA from 1 species